CAAUAGCGUAUAUUAAAGUUGUUGCAGUUAAAAAGCUCGUAGUUGGAUUUCUGGUAGGAGUGACCGUUCCGAACUUGAUUGUUCGUGUAUUGUGGUUUCUCCAGCCAUCCUUGUGGAGAACUUUUCUUGCAUUAAUUUGUAGGGAUUGGGACCCGCAUCGUUUACUGUGAAAAUAUUAGAGUGUUUAAAGCAGGCAAUCGCUUGAAUACAUUAGCAUGGAAUAAUAAGAUAGGACUUUGGUACUAUUUUGUUGGUUUGCAUACCAAAUUAAUGAUCAACAGGAACAGUUUGAGGAUAUUCGUAUGAACAUGUCAGAGGUGAAAUUCUUGGAUUUUGAUCAGACGAACUACUGCGAAAGCAUUUAUCAAGGAUGUUUUCAUUAA
rnacentral:rRNA from 1 species